UGGGGUGUCGCCAAGCGGCAAGGCAGUGGGCUUUGACUCCAUUAUUCACAGGUUCGACUCCUGUCACCCCAG
rnacentral:tRNA from 1 species